rnacentral:rRNA from 1 species
UACGUAGGGGGCAAGCGUUGUCCGGAAUCAUUGGGCGUAAAGAGCGUGUAGGCGGUCCGGUAAGUCGGCUGUGAAAGUCCAGGGCUCAACCCUGGGAUGCCGGUCGAUACUGCCGGACUAGAGUUCGGAAGAGGCGAGUGGAAUUCCCGGUGUAGCGGUGAAAUGCGUAGAUAUCGAGAGGAACACCUGCGGCGAAGGCGGGUCUCUGGACAGUUCCUGACACUGAGGCACGAAGGCCAGGGGAGCAAAACGGGG